UCUCUAGGGGGAACAUAACAUAUAGAAAUGGUGGAGCAGAGUUGCACUUAUUCUCUAAAAUAUAUAUGAUCAUCAAGAUAUUAGCACAUCUGAUCUUUGUGGGCAUCAGGCAUCAUUCAAGUUCUUCUGCCUGCUAGACUGUGUAAGAGUCAGCAUAUUGUCUCCAGCAAUCUGGGUCCUCAGAAGGAUGGAAGGCUGAGUCAACCUUGAGCCUAUCAGGAUCAAACCCCAGGCUAUGGGCAGAAUUAGCCUGCAACACUGCAUUUCAACUACUGAGC